rnacentral:rRNA from 1 species
GCAAGUCGAACGGUAACAGCAGAAGCUUGCUUCUGGCUGACGAGUGGCGGACGGGUGAGUAACGCGUGGGAAUCUGCCUUAUAGUGGGGGAUAGCCCGGAGAAAUCCGGAUUAAUACCGCAUACGCCCUACGGGGGAAAGCUUGGGAUCUUCGGACCUGGCGCUAUUAGAUGAGCCUGCGUAGGAUUAGCUUGUUGGUGGGGUAAAGGCUCACCAAGGCGACGAUCCUUAGCUGGUCUGAGAGGAUGAUC